UGGGGAAUAUUGCACAAUGGGGGAAACCCUGAUGCAGCGACGCCGCGUGAGCGAAGAAGGUUUUCGAAUCGUAAAGCUCUGUCCUAUGGGAAGAUAAUGACGGUACCAUAGGAGGAAGCCCCGGCUAACUACGUGCCAGCAGCCGCGGUAAUACGUAGGGGGCAAGCGUUGUCCGGAAUCACUGGGCGUAAAGGGUUCGCAGGCGGAAAUGCAAGUCAGUUGUGAAAGGCAGAGGCUCAACCUCUGUAAGCAAUUGAAACUGUAUUUCUUGAGAUGUGGAGAGGCAAGUGGAAUUCCUAGUGUAGCGGUGAAAUGCGUAGAUAUUAGGAAGAAUACCGGUGGCGAAGGCGACUUACUGGACUUAAACUGACGCUCAGGCACGAAAGCGUGGGGAGCAAACAGG
rnacentral:rRNA from 1 species